rnacentral:rRNA from 1 species
CCUACGGGAGGCAGCAGUGGGGAAUAUUGCACAAUGGGCGAAAGCCUGAUGCAGCCAUGCCGCGUGAGUGAAGAAGGCCUUAGGGUUGUAAAGCUCUUUCAGCGGGGAAGAUAAUGACGGUACCCGCAGAAGAAGCCCCGGCUAACUCCGUGCCAGCAGCCGCGGUAAUACGGAGGGGGCUAGCGUUGUUCGGAAUUACUGGGCGUAAAGCGCGCGUAGGCGGAUCGGUAAGUCAGGGGUGAAAGCCCGAGGCUCAACCUCGGAAUUGCCUCUUAUACUGCCAAUCUCGAGUCCGGGAGAGGUGAGUGGAAUUCCUAGUGUAGAGGUGAAAUUCGUAGAUAUUAGGAAGAACACCAGUGGCGAAGGCGGCUCACUGGCCCGGUACUGACGCUGAGACGCGAAAGCGUGGGGAGCAAACAGGAUUAGAUACCCCAGUAGUC